GAUCAUGGCCCAGGAUGAACGCUAGCGACAGGCUUAACACAUGCAAGUCGAGGGGCAUCAUGAGGUAGCAAUACCUUGAUGGCGACCGGCGCACGGGUGAGUAACGCGUAUGCAACCUGCCCGAUACCGGGGUAUAGCCCAUGGAAACGUGGAUUAACACCCCAUAGUACUUUUAUCCUGCCUGGGAUGGGAGUUAAAUGUUCAAGGUAUCGGAUGGGCAUGCGUCCUAUUAGUUAGUUGGCGGGG
rnacentral:rRNA from 1 species